rnacentral:rRNA from 1 species
AACGAACGCUGGCGGCAUGCCUAACACAUGCAAGUCGAACGAGACCUUCGGGUCUAGUGGCGCACGGGUGCGUAACGCGUGGGAACCUGCCCUUAGGUUCGGAAUAACUCCCCGAAAGGGGUGCUAAUACCGGAUAAUGUCUUCGGACCAAAGAUUUAUCGCCUUUGGAUGGGCUCGCGUUGGAUUAGCUAGUUGGUAGGGUAAAAGCCUACCACGGCGACGAUCCAUAGCUGGUCUGAGAGGAUGAUCAGCCACACUGGGACUGAGACACGGCCCAGACUCCUACGGGAGGCAGCAGUGGGGGAUAUUGGACAAUGGGCGAAAGCCUGAACCAGCAAUGCCGCGUGAGUGAUGAAGGCCUUAGGGUUGUAAAGCACUUUUACCCGGGAUGAUAAUGACAGUACCGGGAGAAUAAGCUCCGGCUAACUCCGUG